rnacentral:rRNA from 1 species
UACAGAGGUCUCGAGCGUUGUUCGGAUUCAUUGGGCGUAAAGGGUGCGUAGGUGGCGCUGUAAGUCGGGUGUGAAAUCCUGAGGCUUAACCUCGGAACUGCAUUCGAUACUGCGGCGCUUGAGGACUGGAGAGGAGACUGGAAUUCAUGGUGUAGCAGUGAAAUGCGUAGAGAUCAUGAGGAAGACCAGUGGCGAAAGGCGGGGUCUCUGGACAGUUCCUGACACUGAGGCACGAAGGCCAGGGGGAGCAAACGGGG